GAUGAACGUUGGCGGCAUGCCUUACACAUGCAAGUCGAACGGUAACAGGUCUUAGGAUGCUGACGAGUGGCGAACGGGUGAGUAAUACAUCGGAACGUGCCUAGUAGUGGGGGAUAACUACUCGAAAGAAUGGCUAAUACCGCAUGAGAUCUACGGAUGAAAGCAGGGGAUCGCAAGACCUUGUGCUACUAGAGCGGCCGAUGGCAGAGUAGGUAGUUGGUGGGAUAAAAGCUUACCAAGCCGACGAUCUGUAGCUGGUCUGAGAGGACGGUCAGCCACACUGGGACUGAGACACGGCCCAGACUCCUACGGGAGGCAGCAGUGGGGAAUUUUGGACAAUGGGCGCAAGCCUGAUCCAGCAAUGCCGCGUGCAGGAUGAAGGCCUUCGGGUUGUAAACUGCUUUUGUACGGAACGAAAAGCCCCGGGUUAAUACCCUGGGGUCAUGACGGUACCGUAAGAAUAAGCACCGGCUAACUACGUGCCAGCCGCCGCAGUAA
rnacentral:rRNA from 1 species